CUAACCUUAUUUACAAAGUCUUCAUGUAAAUAGUAAACAAUUGAAUUAUCAGGCUUAAAGUCUUCAUGUGCACAGUAAUAUUUGCAAUUAUCAGCCUUCAAAUUCUGCAUUUGGGCCAUCCACCAUAUUUAUAACAUUAAAAAUUAAAAACAAUAUAGACAAUCAUUGAAGAGGACAUUAGUCUAAUUCAAAUGAUCAGUUCUUUUAUUUCAGAGCAGUAUUCUAGUGUUGUAAUCGUCUGCUCUCUCUCUCCGCCGCGACCGCCGCGACCGCCGCCAGCCAUGCCUCCUGUCAUCUAACUAUCUAUCCUCUCCAAACCACCACCGAUUUAAUCCCGAGAUUCUGCAGUAUUUUCCAAGUAGGUGGAAACAAGCACAAGGGAAAACUUUAUCUGCAUAUUCAUAUAUUUUAUUUCCUUCAGUUAUCCUUGCAUUUUAUAACGGUACUCUGUUGUGUACUUUGAUUGUGAAUUUCGAUGUUAUAUAUAGUUUCAUAACAGUACUCUGUUGUGUACUUUCUGUUUUGUUGGGGUCUUCGUUCAAAUUCAAGCUGUAGUAACGUUGUAUGCCAAAGGUGCUUAUAGAGAUGAUUAAAGAAUCUGGACCUGAAAAGUGAUGGCAUAGGUGUUCUGCUGGAUUGAUGACCGUAAUCAAGAAAUUUGGAUUGUUGGAGGAAGAAGUUGGUUCCUUGCCAAUUUGAGGUAUAUAAUUAUACGCCCUCAUUUUUAUUCAAAGCCUAAUUAGUUAUCGACCUUUUUUUAUUUAUCUUUGUGAAGCUUUCAUGCUUGAUUUUAAAUAUAUAAUUCAAUUUUCUUUGUUUGAGCUUAGAAUGGAAAUGGGCUUCUUUCUAUUUUGUGCACGUAUCUGUAUGUGUCCAUUUAUGUAAAGCUUGAGAUAACUAAGGAUAUAUUUCUAUCAAACCCCAUUCCAAUUGAA